rnacentral:rRNA from 1 species
GGUUAAGUUAGAAAGGGCGCACGGUGAAUGCCUUGGCACUAGGAGCCGAUGAAGGACGGGACUAACACCGAUAUGCUUCGGGGAGCUGUAAGUAAGCUUUGAUCCGGAGAUUUCCGAAUGGGGAAACCCACUGCUCGUAAUGGAGCAGUAUCAUUACCUGAAUCCAUAGGGUAAUGAGGGCACACCCGGGGAACUGAAACAUCUAAGUACCCGGAGGAAGAGAAAGCAAAUGCGAUUCCCUGAGUAGCGGCGAGCGAAACGGGAACAGCCCAAACCGAAAGGCUUGCCUUUCGGGGUUGUAGGACACUCAAUACGGAGUUACAAAGGAACGGGGUAGAUGAAGCGGCCUGGAAAGGCCUGCCGUAGAAGGUAAAAGCCCUGUAGUCGAAACUUCGUUCCCUCCUGAGUGGAUCCUGAGUACGGCCGGACACGUGAAAUCUGGUCGGAAGCAGGGAGGACCAUCUCCCAAGGCUAAAUACUCCCUAGUGACCGAUAGUGAACCAGUACCGUGAGGGAAAGGUGAAAAGCACCCCGGGAGGGGAGUGAAAGAGAACCUGAAACCGUGUGCCUACAAGUAGUCAGAGCCCGUUUAUGGGUGAUGGCGUGCCUUUUGUAGAAUGAACCGGCGAGUUACGAUUACAUGCGAGGUUAAGUUGAAGAGACGGAGCCGUAGCGAAAGCGAGUCUGAAUAGGGCGAUGGAGUAUGUAGUCGUAGACCCGAAACCAGGUGAUCUACCCAUGUCCAGGGUGAAGUCCAGGUAACACUGGAUGGAGGCCCGAACCCACGCACGUUGAAAAGUGCGGGGAUGAGGUGUGGGUAGCGGAGAAAUUCCAAUCGAACUUGGAGAUAGCUGGUUCUCUCCGAAAUAGCUUUAGGGCUAGCCUCACGUAGU